GCAGUGUUCACAUGCAAGGAGCUCCAGCAAGUAGUGAUCCAAACUGCCAGAAAACAGGAGACACCAGUUACGUUUACACAGCCUGUACAUUUACCUGUGAAGGUGAUGAAAUAAUAGUAUUACAAAGGAACGAAAAAUGCUACCUGCCAGGAGGAAAAGGCACGUCCCCGAAUAAGAACAGCAACGGAGCUACAGGAAAAUGUGUGGAUGGGAAGUGUAUUCCAAAAUAAUUUCAAAGAUCAAAUACAAGAUCUGGGAAUCGGCACAUUGAAAUAAUCCUAACCACGAAUGUCA
rnacentral:lncRNA from 1 species